UUCUUCAAAGGCCUGCUACACACUCACAUUUUGUCAGAAAAAACAAAGCUUGCAAACACUAUACAAGAGAUGUUGUGUGCUUGCCUUUUUCAUCAGCAUCAACAAUUCGCAUUCCAAGGGGAGACUCAAGAGCAAAUUUGGCACGAGAUGGCCUUAUUGGGAAGAUCUCCUUUACAUCUGACUGGUCUGAAGCACAACUUAAAGAAGAAAUGACCGGCCAUUUUCAGAAGAACGUUUGCAUUGUCUAUGCAUUGUCUAUGGGCCAGUCAUUCCCAUUCGAGUAUUUGAGUACAGUCAAGGGAUGCAAAAGACUAAUGAAACCAAACGUCUCGAGCAGUUUUUUGUGAGGUGGAAAAGAAGUUGCCUCGAUUAGUUCAGCCACUUGUCUCUAUAUAAUGGCAUUAAUACGCAAACCUGUACAGGAGGAACCUGAGGAACUCUCCAAUAGUGACUUUGAAAGUCCUGUGGGCUGGAGAAGGAGAGUUCAUACAGUGUCACCUUCCACAAGUGAAAGUGAGCUCAUCAGUCAAGGGAGUGAAAAUGACAGACUGCAAGAAAGUCCAUCGCGUCAAAGAAGAAGUAGGUUAAGCCCACCCCUGCUGCUGCAGGCAAAGCAUAGCUCGUUAGCUCAGCAAGCAAGCAACAUGUCGGUAAAGGAUAUUU